GCUCAGGACGAACGCUGGCGGCGUGCUUAACACAUGCAAGUCGAGCGGUAAGGCCUUUCGGGGUACACGAGCGGCGAACGGGUGAGUAACACGUGGGUGAUCUGCCCUGCACUUCGGGAUAAGCCUGGGAAACUGGGUCUAAUACCGGAUAUGACCUCCUAUCGCAUGGUGGGUGGUGGAAAGAUUUAUCGGUGCAGGAUGGGCCCGCGGCCUAUCAGCUUGUUGGUGGGGUAAUGGCCUACCAAGGCGACGACGGGUAGCCGACCUGAGAGGGUGACCGGCCACACUGGGACUGAGACACGGCCCAGACUCCUACGGGAGGCAGCAGUGGGGAAUAUUGCACAAUGGGCGAAAGCCUGAUGCAGCGACGCCGCGUGAGGGAUGACGGCCUUCGGGUUGUAAACCUCUUUCAGCAGGGACGAAGCGCAAGUGACGGUACCUGCAGAAGAAGCACCGGCUAACUACGUGCCAGCAGCCGCGGUAAUACGUAGGGUGCAAGCGUUGUCCGGAAUUACUGGGCGUAAAGAGUUCGUAGGCGGUUUGUCGCGUCGUUUGUGAAAACCAGCAGCUCAACUGCUGGCUUGCAGGCGAUACGGGCAGACUUGAGUACUGCAGGGGAGACUGGAAUUCCUGGUGUAGCGGUGAAAUGCGCAGAUAUCAGGAGGAACACCGGUGGCGAAGGCGGGUCUCUGGGCAGUAACUGAC
rnacentral:rRNA from 1 species